UUCGCCCUUUCCAGUGAGCCCGGGCUUCGGGGGCCUCACCCGCCAGCCAGAAAAAUGGAGGGUUAGACAGUGAGGAAGCACACCGAAAGUAAGGUGACCAGUACCUUCUGCCAUGCGGGACCUUGGAGCAGGAGACUGGAGGACAACAAGCCUUGCUGCGGAGGAGUGGGAAAUAGAAGCUAAUUGCAUUUAUAUGCAGGAGACAGUCAUUGGAUUCUCAGCAUUUUCACUGUCUGUUCUUGGACCGGCUGGAUGGUUCCUGUGCCACCUUCCAAGCUA